GUGAUCGUGAAUGUUAUUCACGUUAUAAUAUUAAUAUUUGAGGCUAGAUUACACCUCUAAUGCUAAGGAUCCUGCGAGACCGUUCAUCCCGGAGGGGGACCGACUGCGCCACGGACGGACUGGGCGAGCGGAACUGACGUGUGGCUUUUAGUAAACAUCCGGUCCUUUAACUCGGGGCUGCGUAAUAACCACCGAGCGCUUGGAAGACAAACAAUGUCAUCUUCCUUCUGUUAGGAGGAUCAAAGUGAAGCUACAGGAGUUUCAUUAACGUCAAUAACUUGGACCGUACACUUUGUUUUGCUUGAUGAAGAGCAGGAAGGGCAGCCUGGAGAGAAAUUGAAGCCGGGUUGAGCCCACUACCAUCAUCCACGUACCACGAGGAAGAUGAGGGAGAGAAAUGAUCCUACCAUUAAAGAGAACGUUGAGAACAUCACCACUCUACAGGAAGACACAGUCCAGUAAUGGGUGUCAGAAGUUCAGUAGUGAACGACAGAAACAAACAAUCCAAAUUACCUGCAGAAUGCCCUUGAUGGACGCUUCAGGAGCAUUGUCAGACUGGAAGGACUGAUGCAUUUACUGAGACGGGAUGUGAGGGCCUACUCUGCGUGCUCAGAGUUCAAGCCCAGCAGGCUGCAGCAGGCCUGACAUAUUCCGGAACAGCAGCACAGUCUUUGGAUGACUCCUCUGAAGAUGAAAACAUGGCGAGUUCUUCUCAAGAGAAGCAGUACAGGUGUGCCUCAGCUCCACGGUCCCUCCUGCAGCCUCCGCUCCUGAUGCUAACCUCAUGUCUCCAUCACACCAAGUAGCAGACCUGGAUUGACAGACCUUUCUCCAGAGCUGCCCCCUCCCUCUGAAACCCCCCUCUCCAAAACACUAUUUGUGGCGUUUUUAAAGUCUUAUUUGCAUGAGAAUUGUUGAUCAUAUCAUUUCCAGCAGAUGCCUUAAUGUA